rnacentral:lncRNA from 1 species
UUAAACUUGCUAAGUGAGGGACUAUUAAAAGAGAGGCAGGAUUUAAACGAAUUGGUUACAAGUUAUGCGACUGACAAUAUCCAUUACUACUAAUUUUUUAUAUCUAACACUGAGUGAAGCGCAUCAGACUCAAUUAGAAACUCCUAUUGGCAUGCUCUCUAUGCUUUGCUGAUUUUAAAACCUUAUAGACGUGGUGUAGAAAUGCAGAAGCCUUAUAGACAUGGUAUCCAAAUGUAGUUGAAUAUGCAGAAUCCUAUAAAUAUGGUUACUAUAU